GGAGGCGGUGGAGUAGGAGGCGGUGGAGGAGUAGGAGGCGGUGGAGUAGGAGGCGGUGGAGUAGCUCUCACGGUCUCGGACCGUGCGUGGGCCCGGGUCUCCGCCGGCCGAGCCCUCGCUGAGCCCCGGGGGGACCCCGGGGGGGUCCCCUCGCCGUGGGGGGGGGGCCCCGGCGGCGGGGGGGGUCCCUCGGGGACUCCUCAGGGGUCUGCCGCGGGCCCCGAGGGUGGCCAAGCUCCAGAGGCAUCCCAUCAGGGGUUACGGAUUCUACCUGCGAGAGAUUAGGGGCGUCGCCGGGCAGUUCAUCCACGACGUGGAGUGUAAGAGUGAGGCUGAACGUGCGGGCCUCAGGGAUGGAGAUCGACUGGUGGCGGUGAACGGAUCCAGCGUGGAGCGGAUGGAGCACGCCCAGGUGGUGGACUUCAUCCGUGCCAGGGGCUCCAGGGUCGACUUGCUGCUGGUCGACUCGCCCACGGACGCCAUGUGCUCACGGAUUGGCAUCUCGCCGAUGGCGUUCCUGCCCUGGCUAGGACAGUGACAAUGAUCGAUUCCCUGAAGAUGAAUCUGUGGAAUCGCCAACUCCACCAUAUUGAUUUGUCAAUCAAUGUAUUGGUUUGUCAAUUAAUAUAUUGAUUUGUAAAUAAAUAUAUUUAGGUCAAUUCAUAUUUUGAUUAAUAAAUCAACAUAUUGAUUUGUCAAUUCAUAUAUUGAUUUGUACAUCAAUAUAUUGAUUUGCAAACUAAUAUAUCGAUUUCUUAAUCAACAAAUUGAUGCGUCAAUUAAUUUGUUGAUGUGCCAUUUGAUGUCUUGAUUUGUCAAUUCACGUAUUGAUAAUUCAAUUAAUGUAUCGAUUUUUAAAAUUUAAUAUAUUCAGAAGCCAAAAAAUCAACUCGCGUAUAUUUGUAUUAUCGAUUUUCAUAUUCAAUUGAAUGUAUUAACACGUGAUUUAGUAAUACCGAUAUGCCAUUUGAUGUAUGGAUUUGUCAAUUAAUAUAUUGAUGUCAUUGAAUGCGUAAUUUUCUAAAUUAAAACUCAAUGG